rnacentral:rRNA from 1 species
UACGUAGGGGCCUAGCGUUGUCCGGAAUUAUUGGGCGUAAAGAGCUCGUAGGCGGUUCGGCAAGUCGGAUGUGAAAUCUCCACGCUUAACGUGGAGGGGCCAUUCGAAACUGCUGUGACUCGAGUCCGGUAGGGGAGUGUGGAAUUCCCGGUGUAGCGGUGAAUGCGCAGAUAUCGGGAGGAACACCAGUAGCGAAGGCGGCACUCUGGGCCG